GGCCGCGGGAAUUCGAUUCAGGCCUAACACAUGCAAGUCGAACGGGGUUAAGUGAAAUUUUCGGAUGGAACUUAACUUAGUGGCGGACGGGUGAGUAACGCGUGGAUAACCUGCCUCACACUGGGGGAUAGCAGCUGGAAACGGCUGGUAAUACCGCAUAAGACCACAGCACCGCAUGGUGCAGGGGUAAAAGAUUUAUCGGUGUGAGAUGGAUCCGCGUCUGAUUAGCCAGUUGGCGGGGUAACGGCCCACCAAAGCGACGAUCAGUAGCCGGCCUGAGAGGGUGAACGGCCACAUUGGGACUGAGACACGGCCCAAACUCCUACGGGAGGCAGCAGUGGGGAAUAUUGCACAAUGGGCGCAAGCCUGAUGCAGCAACGCCGCGUGAGUGAAGAAGUAUUUCGGUAUAAGAGCUCUAUCGGCAGGGAAGAAAGGCCCUUAACAGGGAG
rnacentral:rRNA from 1 species